UUCUCGUGGCGGCCAUUUUAACUGCUCUGGGACUGUGCUGGCUCCUGACUGCUGGGUCUGGACCGACGUGACGGCCAACAAGGUCCGAGAAGAGGCCUUGUUCCCCCAGGACAAAAGCGGGUCUGAGGCUCGGCGACGCCGCCCCGAUGCCCCGCGCCAGGCCUGGUAGAGGGACUGCCGAUCCGCGUCCCGCUCUGCCCACAGAUCCCAAUGGCAGCGGUGGUGCUGAGGGACCCGCCUCAGCUCCCGGUGUACAGCCUCUCUUCUGGAAUACAACCUCCAUGUGGCCCUGUGUAGUGUGUGGUGUGUCCUCCUCUCUCAGGCUCAGGGAAAUGUGACCUUUGAGGAUGUGGCCAUGUACUUCUCUUUGGAGGAAUGGAAUCUCCUUGACGAGCCUCACAGAUGCCUGUACCAAGAUGUGAUACUGGAGAAUUUGGCACUUGUAACCUCCCUGGUCUGGGAAGUUGAAGAUCAAGGUACUGGCCUUGUGGAAAGAGCCUUCUCUUUUUCUACGAAAAGAAUAGGUUGUUGGUGUGGAGUGGAGGAUAAGGAGGCAUCUUCUGAGCACAGCAUUUCUGCCAAAGUAAUGCCACAGGAUAGGACUCUCAAAGCAGGUCUGUCUCCCCAGAAGGCCCACCUCUGUGAGAUGUGUGGACCCAUGUUGAGAGACAGUUUGCACUUGGUUGAACACCAGGAAACACAUCACAGACCGAAACUGCACAUGUGUGGGGCAUGUGGAAAACAAUUUCCUCUCACUGCAGACUUUAUCAGCUGCACAAGCAGCGUGUUGGAGAGAAAUGCUUCAAAAGCAAUAUGAGCAGAGCCUUGUUCUUGAAGAGCUGCUAAUUCCAUGUGUCAGGGAACUCCUUUACCCAUAAGGAGGUUGGGAAGGACUUUCUGGCCAGCUCGGGACAUCUUCAGCAACAGGCUACUCACACCAGGGAGAAGUCAAAUAGUGGACCGGAGUGUGUGGUGGCCUUCCACAGUGUAAACAACCAUUACAACCAGCUAGAGUGCAUGAAAGCUUGCAGCCCCAAACACACCCUUGUUCCACACCAGAGUCCUCAAGAGGGAAAGAUCUUACAGGUGCCGUGAGUGUGGGAAAUCCUUUAGAAAAAACUGUAGCCUCAGGGAGCAUUUGAGAGUUCACACUAGCAAAAAGCCUUAUGAGUGUGGGGAAGGUGGAAAAUUAUUUAGCAAGAAGUACAACCUUAUCAUGCAUCGAAAAGUUCACCCUGGUGAAAAGCCAUGUGAGUGCAGUGAACGAGGGGAAUGUUUUAGCCAGAGCUCUCGCCUCAUUAGACACCAGAGAAUUCACGCUGGAGAAAGGCUUUAUGAGUGCAGUGAAUGGAAAGUCCUUUACCUUCAACCCCAAUCUCCUAAAAUACCAGAAUGUUCACAAGGAAUAAAGGCCUUUACAUAAUAUAGGUAAGUCUGUUAUGGACUGAAUUGUGUCCCUCAAGAUUCAUACGUUCAAGCCCUAACAGCCAAUGUAACUAUGUUUUUAGGUAUGUCCUAUAAGGAGAUAACUAAGGACAAAUGAGGUCAUAAGAAUGGGGUCCUAAUCCAGUGUGACUUGUGUCCAUGGAAGAAGACAAGGCACCAGAAGGUGCUCACUUUCUCGCUGUAUUCACGAACAGAGGAAAGGCCUUUUAAUGACACACCAAGAAGGUGGUUGAUUAGAAGUCAGAAAGAAAGGCCUCACCAGAAACCAUUCCUGAUGGCACCUUGGUCUUAGACUCCCAGCCUCUAGAAAUAGGAGAAUAUACAUUUCUUUAAGCCACCCAGUCUGUGGUAUUUUGUUGUGGCAGCCUGAAAAGAGACAAAGAUGCAAAGAAGGUACCACAUUGUAUUCUGUUUUUGUGUACUGAUAAUAGUAGACGCAAAUAACCUUGAGAAUGUAUAGAAUAGUAAACCAUAGUGAAAUAAUUAGGAAGUUACAAAUUUUAAGAGUUACCUUUGCUUUUUAAACAGCUUUACUGAAGUACAAUCAGUUGUCAUUCACGCUAGUCAUGUCCUUUAAUUCACUGAAUUGUGAAUAUAGAGCCGUUGUUCCUAGGGGAAAUCUGUAAUUAGGUUCCUGACAGCCUCUGGUUACAACGUUUUGCUCAAUUGGUAAGUACAUAACGUGGUUUUCCAUGUGUUUCUGUUUAAAAACAAUUCAUUUACUGUAUACUGUUGAUUCAUUAACACUGAAAUCAUGGCCAACAGCACGAUGAUUCAUGCCUGAACAAUGCUUACCUAACAUGUAUUUUCUUUAAGCCACAUUGUUUGGGCUUAGGAACUCUAGGCGGCACAUGAGCGCCAGUUUUGGAGGCCAUUUUGGACCACAAAACCACCAAGAAGAAGCAUAAAUGGGGCACUAAAUACAUCAUGGGAAGAAUGCUUGUUUACAGUAUGAGAGCCGCAAAGAGAAGGCAGAGCAUCAUCUUGUGUAUCUCACAUACACUGGGUGACUCGGAUAUUUUGUGUCUCCACAUGUCUAUGAAUAAGUGUAAAAAUGUAAGUAUUGAUUUGGGGGUUUUCCAGUUUUGGCAGGUAGGCAAAUUUACAAAUACAGAAUCCAUGAAAAAUGA